GCGCCAAUAGCUCAAUAGGCAGAGCAGCUGACUCUUAAUCAGCGGGUUCGGGGUUCAAGUCCCUGUUGGCGCA
rnacentral:tRNA from 1 species